rnacentral:rRNA from 1 species
CCCUUAGAUGUCCUGGGCUGCACGCGCGCUACACUGGAAGUUACGGAUUGAGAUACUACCUUGUCCGAAAUGGUCCGGGUAAUCACCUAAAAGCUUGUCAUAAUUGGAAUGGACUAUUGUAACUAGUAAUCCUGAACGAGGAAUUCCUAGUAAGUCCCAGUCAACAGCUGGUACUGAUUACGUCCCUGCCCUUUGUACACACCGCCCGUCGCUACUACUGAUUGGACGUUUAAGCAAGAUUUUUAAACACUGACAGUGUGUAGUUCACGCUAUACUACAGUGAGAAGAAGAAGAUCGAGCUUACUUGUCUAGAGGAAGUAAAAGUCGUAACA